rnacentral:rRNA from 1 species
GACGAACGCUAGCGGCGUGCCUAAUACAUGCAAGUCGAGCGAAGUUUUUCUGGUGCUUGCACUAGAAAAACUUAGCGGCGAACGGGUGAGUAACACGUAAAGAACCUGCCUCAUAGACUGGGACAACUAUUGGAAACGAUAGCUAAUACCGGAUAACAGUAUUUCUCGCAUGAGAGAUAUUUAAAAGUUGGUUAUGCUAACACUAUGAGAUGGCUUUGCGGUGCAUUAGCUAGUUGGUGGGGUAAAGGCCCACCAAGGCGACGAUGCAUAGCCGACCUGAGAGGGUGAUCGGCCACACUGGGACUGAGACACGGCCCAGACUCCUACGGGAGGCAGCAGUAGGGAAUCUUCCGCAAUGGGCGAAAGUCUGACGGAGCAACGCCGCGUGAGUGAAGAAGGAUUUCGGUUCGUAAAGCUCUGUUGUUAGGGAAGAAUGGAUAUGUAGUAACUAUACAUGUAAGAGACGGUACCUAACCAGAAAGCCACGGCUAACUACGUG